rnacentral:misc_RNA from 1 species
UUUCCGUAGGUGAACCUGCGGAAGGAUCAUUAUCGAAAAGCAAUCCGGGGGGGAGGCCACCGGGCGAAGUUUGGUAGAUCGUAGGGAUUGUCGCUGGCCUUUGGAAACGAAGGCAUGUGCACGUUCCGAGUUCUCCUUAGUCCUCCUUUGCCUUUCCUUUGGAAGACCCUUCCUUCACACCCGUGCACACAUUGUAGGUCUCCGCGAGGGGAUCUAUGUCUUCACAAAACUCUACGUAUGUCCAGGAAUGUAUCUAAUGCGUCGAACGGCUCGGCCCCAUGCCCGGUCGCCGACGGUAAAGAACCAUAAUCCAACUUUCAGCAACGGAUCUCUUGGCUCUC